AUUGAACGCUGGCGGCAGGCCUAACACAUGCAAGUCGAACGAGUGGCGGACGGGUGAGUAAUGUCUGGGAAACUGCCUGAUGGAGGGGGAUAACUGCUGGAACCGUUAGCUAAUACCGCAUACCAUCAGAUGUGCCCAGAUGGGAGUAGCUAGUGGGUGGGGUAAUGGCUCACCUAGGCGACGAUCCCUAGCUGGCCUGAGAGGAUGACCAGCCACACUGGAACUGAGACACGGUCCAGACUCCUACGGGAGGCAGCAGUGGGGAAUAUUGGACAAUGGGCGCAAGCCUGAUGCAGCCAUGCCGCGUGUGUGAAGAAGGCCUUCGGGUUGUAAAGCACUUUCAGCGGGGAAGCGUUACUCACAGAAGAAGCACCGGCUAACUCCGUGCCAGCAGCCGCGGUAAUAC
rnacentral:rRNA from 1 species